ensembl:lncRNA
UCACAAAUGAGCGGACGUUUUUCAAUGUUUUCUUUUAAUUUUCUUUUGGACCGAAUUUUACGUAUCUCAUACUCUGGGGUGGUGGUAUCUGUAUAUGAACUAAGCCUGCUGAAACCAUCCGAGGACUUGCAAAUUUCCCGGGGAUACUUUCUCUUCGUUUGUUAGGCUCUGGAGCAGUGUACGGUCGUGCACAGUGUUUCCCCGGUUAUUGGAAUCAUCUGGACUCUUGCCUAAAAGUCUUGCUCUUGAUUUUGAGUUUUUAGGAGGCUUAACUGGGGGUAUUUGUAAAUCUUCAUAUCUAUCCAAACAAUCCUAAAUAUUGAAACAAAACAUCAAAUUGGUAAGUUAUGCUUCUUAAAAACACAUUUUAAGGUUAUAAGAACUAAUGUUUGUAGUACCAGGAGUUAAGUGAACGCCUUAGUGUUUUUAGGUAGUCCCAAUGCAUGCUGUGUACCCAGUGCUUCCCAUCAGAUAUUCCCUUAGAAAUCAGGUGGGUUUGUGUUUUAUUUUUUUUAAUUCUUACCUUUUUAGAGGACUUGCUGCUUCAAAAUGGUAAAAAAUAUGAAACAGAAACCCUGACACACUUUAAGGAGCUGUCCUCUGGGGUCAGACUCAGGCAAAACUAGCCAACCUAGUCUACAGUUCUUAUAUGCCUAAGUAUCUUUCCCAUGACCUCAAAUAUAAAUUAUAAACUUUGAUGUUUUACUUUUAUAUCAUCUAAAUUUUUGUCAGUCUCUACAAGUUACUUUAAUAACCAUCUUUAUCAGUGUAUGUAUGUAUAUAUACAUACAUAUACAUACAUAUACAUAUAGCAUAACAUUUAAGAAAAUGUAGUAUUUGUAUGGGGUUGAUUAUCAGUAUAUAGUCCAAGAUGGCCUCUUACUCUAAAGCUUCCAAGUCUCAGUCUCCAGAUGGGUUAUUAGGAUGUUUACAUUAGUAAUUUGCCAAGUGUGGUGGCUUAGGCCUGUAGUCCCAUCACUCGGUAAAGGAAGGAGGGUUGCCAUGAGUUCAAGAUUACCAAAGUAACAAGAGGGGGAAAGUAACAGUUUUCUUGGCAGAUUUUAUGGCUGUAUUUUAAUAUGAAGAUCUAUAUGUACCCCUAAAAGGGUAUGGAGCUAUUAGCCAUGUAACAGUGUUUAUUCACAUAGUAGUUCACCCCAUUUGGGGGAGGGAGCAUGGCAGCCACUCACAGGAAUGGCUGUUUUGGUGGGAGGUAAGGCAGGAAUGGACUAGGUCAAUUGUAGGGUCAUGAAGGUUAGGUAGGACUAGUAAGAACUUGGAUGACUAGAGAGAUCCAUAAAGGAAAUCUGUUCUAAGAGACUAAAAACCAAUCCUACUCCCUUGAGUUUUUGCCUGGUUUGGGCAUGACAGACUUUUCUUCCUUCCUUCCUUCCUUCCUUCCUUCCUUCCUUCCUUCCUUCCUUCCUCCCUCCCUCCCUCUUCCUUUCCUUUCCUUUUUCCUUUCCUUUCUCUUUCCUUUCCUUUCCUUUCCUUUCCUUUUUCCUUUCCUUUCCCUUCCCUUUUCCUUUUCCUUUCCUUUUACCUUUCCUUUUACUUUUCCCUUUCCUUUCCUUUUUCCUUUUUUCCUUUUUCCUUUUUCCUCUUUUUCCUUUUUUCCCUUUUUCCUUCUUUUUCCUUUUCCUUUUUUCCCUUUUCCCUUCUUUUCCCUUUUUUCCCUUUUCCCUUUUUUCCCUUUUCCCUUUUUUCCCCUUUUCCCUUUUCCCUUUUCCCUUUCCUUUUUCCUUUCCUUUCCCCUUUCCUUUCCUUUCCCCUUUCCUUUCCUUUCCUUUCCUUUCCUUUCCUUUCCUUUCCUUUCCUUUCCUUUCCUUUCCUUUUUCUUUUGUUUUUGAGAAAGAAUCUUACACUCUAGCCCAUACUAACCUGGAACCCAAUGGCUUGGAACUCACUGUGUAGCUUAGGCUCAUCUGGCCUUUGGAGUACAUGGUGUUUGUUCCCAUUCCCAGUGAUUCUUUGCCCACACUGAUUCUUAAGAGAGGCUCUGCUACAUUAGUAAUCACUAAUGACUUCAGCUCCACAGCUGGUGACCAGGGCAUCAGUGAAGGACAUGAGAACCACACCACUAGCUCAAAAGAAGUCCUUUCUGUUCCUGGAUUUUUAAAAAGGGAUCUGCUGCUUCGAAAAGUGAAAAAUACACAGAAGCAAAACCCUUAAGGAGCUGUCCUCCCAAGAAAGGAUUGUGAAUGCUGGGGAGAUGCAAGCAUUAGGACCUGAGUUCAUUCUCCAGAAUCCACACGGA